AGCGAACGCUGGCGGCAGGCCUAACACAUGCAAGUCGAGCGGCCGUAGCAAUACGGCAGCGGCAGACGGGAGAGUAACACGUGGGAACGUGCCCAUCAGUUCGGAACAACCCAGGGAAACUUGGGCUAAUACCGGAUACGCCCUUACGGGGAAAGAUUUAUCGCUGAUGGAGCGGCCCGCGUCUGAUUAGCUAGUUGGUGAGGUAACGGCUCACCAAGGCGACGAUCAGUAGCUGGUCUGAGAGGAUGAUCAGCCUCACUGGGACUGAGGCACGGCCCAGACUCCUACGGGAGGCAGCAGUGGGGAAUAUUGGACAAUGGGCGCAAGCCUGAUCCAACCAUGCCGCGUGGAUGAUGAAGGCCCUAGGGUUGUAAAGUCCUUUCGGCGGGGAAGAUAAUGACGGUACCCGCAGAAGAAGCCCCGGCUAACUUCGUGCCAGCCGCCGCGGUAACAC
rnacentral:rRNA from 1 species